rnacentral:rRNA from 1 species
UACGAAGGGGGCUAGCGUUGCUCGGAAUUACUGGGCGUAAAGGGCGCGUAGGCGGUCAUUUUAGUCAGGCGUGAAAUUCCCGGGCUUAACCUGGGGACUGCGCUUGAUACUGGGUGACUUGAGGGUGGAAGAGGGUCGUGGAAUUCCCAGUGUAGAGGUGAAAUUCGUAGAUAUUGGGAAGAACACCGGUGGCGAAGGCGGCGACCUGGUCCAUUACUGACGCUGAGGCGCGACAGCGUGGGGGAGCAAACAGG